rnacentral:rRNA from 1 species
CUGAAACAUCUAAGUACCCCGAGGAAAAGAAAUCAACCGAGAUUCCCCCAGUAGCGGCGAGCGAACGGGGAGCAGCCCAGAGCCUGAAUCAGUGUGUGUGUUAGUGGAAGCGUCUGGAAAGGCGCGCGAUACAGGGUGACAGCCCCGUACACAAAAAUGCACAUACUGUGAGCUCGAUGAGUAGGGCGGGACACGUGGUAUCCUGUCUGAAUAUGGGGGGACCAUCCUCCAAGGCUAAAUACUCCUGACUGACCGAUAGUGAACCAGUACCGUGAGGGAAAGGCGAAAAGAACCCCGGCGAGGGGAGUGAAAAAGAACCUGAAACCGUGUACGUACAAGCAGUGGGAGCACGCUUCGGCGUGUGACUGCGUACCUUUUGUAUAAUGGGUCAGCGACUUAUAUUCUGUAGCAAGGUUAACCGAAUAGGGGAGCCGAAGGGAAACCGAGUCUUAACUGGGCGUUAAGUUGCAGGGUAUAGACCCGAAACCCGGUGAUCUAGCCAUGGGCAGGUUGAAGGUUGGGUAACACUAACUGGAGGACCGAACCGACUAAUGUUGAAAAAUUAGCGGAUGACUUGUGGCUGGGGGUGAAAGGCCAAUCAAACCGGGAGAUAGCUGGUUCUCCCCGAAAGCUAUUUAGGUAGCGCCUCGUGAAUUCAUCUCCGGGGGUAGAGCACUGUUUCGGCAAGGGGGUCAUCCCGACUUACCAACCCGAUGCAAACUGCGAAUACCGGAGAAUGUUAUCACGGGAGACACACGGCGGGUGCUAACGUCCGUCGUGAAGAGGGAAACAACCCAGACCGCCAGCUAAGGUCCCAAAGUCAUGGUUAAGUGGGAAACGAUGUGGGAAGGCCCAGACAGCCAGGAUGUUGGCUUAGAAGCAGCCAUCAUUUAAAGAAAGCGUAAUAGCUCACUGGUCGAGUCGGCCUGCGCGGAAGAUGUAACGGGGCUAAACCAUGCACCGAAGCUGCGGCAGCGACACUAUGUGUUGUUGGGUAGGGGAGCGUUCUGUAAGCCUGUGAAGGUGUACUGUGAGGUAUGCUGGAGGUAUCAGAAGUGCGAAUGCUGACAUAAGUAACGAUAAAGCGGGUGAAAAGCCCGCUCGCCGGAAGACCAAGGGUUCCUGUCCAACGUUAAUCGGGGCAGGGUGAGUCGACCCCUAAGGCGAGGCCGAAAGGCGUAGUCGAUGGGAAACAGGUUAAUAUUCCUGUACUUGGUGUUACUGCGAAGGGGGGACGGAGAAGGCUAUGUUGGCCGGGCGA